GCGUUCUGUGGACCUUCGGAUCCGUCCUCAAAUGCAGACUUUUCGUUCCUAGUGCGAAGGGAUGUUUUGGAUGAUACACCGGAGCGGCUAUGCUAGCGCAUGAGUGGUAUUGGCCUGUGACAGCUUGGAUGACUCCCGCCGUUGUGCGGCCGACUCUCGGUGCCUGUGCCCCUUCAAGUUUGGCUAUAAUGACCGACCCUUUCACGAGUGCUUGCAUGCUGCUACCAGUCUCACUGGAAGUUGCAUUGCUAAAUGUUGCCCUUGUCGUGUGCGCCCUUAGGGUGUGGCACGUCAGCUAAAAAGCGCUCAUGUCAUUGCCUCAUGGAGUCGGCCUAGGCUUGCUUCAUCAUGGCUACCUCAUGUUUGCUCUUGGUCUUGGUUGCGGCUAACGUGAAAGACCGAGGUGCUUUGGUGCCCCGCCCCUAUCAAUGUUAGUCCAAGUGGAAACGACAGUUGGCUCGGUUAUCGCCUCUGUGGUAGC
rnacentral:misc_RNA from 1 species